rnacentral:rRNA from 1 species
GAAUGAACCGGCGAGUUACGAUUUGAUGCAAGGUUAAGCAGUAAAUGUGGAGCCGUAGCGAAAGCGAGUCUGAAUAGGGCGUUUAGUAUUUGGUCGUAGACCCGAAACCAGGUGAUCUACCCUUGGUCAGGUUGAAGUUCAGGUAACACUGAAUGGAGGACCGAACCGACUUACGUUGAAAAGUGAGCGGAUGAACUGAGGGUAGCGGAGAAAUUCCAAUCGAACCUGGAGAUAGCUGGUUCUCUCCGAAAUAGCUUUAGGGCUAGCCUCAAGUGAUGAUUAUUGGAGGUAGAGCACUGUUUGGACGAGGGGCCCCUCUCGGGUUACCGAAUUCAGACAAACUCCGAAUGCCAAUUAAUUUAACUUGGGAGUCAGAACAUGGGUGAUAAGGUCCGUGUUCGAAAGGGAAACAGCCCAGACCACCAGCUAAGGUCCCAAAAUAUAUGUUAAGUGGAAAAGGAUGUGGCGUUGCCCAGACAACUAGGAUGUUGGCUUAGAAGCAGCCAUCAUUUAAAGAGUGCGUAAUAGCUCACUAGUCGAGUGACACUGCGCCGAAAAUGUACCGGGGCUAAACAUAUUACCGAAGCUGUGGAUUGUCCUUUGGACAAUGGUAGGAGAGCGUUCUAAGGGCGUUGAAGCAUGAUCGUAAGGACAUGUGGAGCGCUUAGAAGUGAGAAUGCCGGUGUGAGUAGCGAAAGACGGGUGAGAAUCCCGUCCACCGAUUGAC